GUGCUUACUUUGGCAGCAUAUAUGUUAAAAUUGGAACAAUACAAAGAAGAUCAGCAUGGCCCCCGAGCAAGGAUGACAUGCAAAUUUGUGAAGUUUCGUAUUAAAGU